UUACGAGGUCAGGACACUGUGAGGAUUGACAGAUUGAAAGCUCUUUCUUGAUUCAGUGGGUGGUGGUGCAUGGCCGUUCUUAGUUGGUGGAGUGAUUUGUCUGGUUAAUUCCGUUAACGAACGAGACCUUAACCUGCUAAAUAGUCACGCGAACCGGUCCGCAAGGGCUCAAAGUUCGCGGCUCGACUUCUUAGAGGGACUAUUCGCACCCGCCAGCGAAUGGAAGUUUGAGGCAAUAACAGGUCUGUGAUGCCCUUAGAUGUUCUCGGCCGCACGCGCGUUACACUGACGGAGUCAACGAGCGUUUUUCCUUGCCCGACAGGGCUGGGUAACCUCCUGAAACUCCGUCGUGAUGGGGAUAGAUCAUUGCAAUUAUUGAUCUUGAACGAGGAAUUCCUAGUAGGCGCGAGUCAUCAACUCGCGCCGAUUACGUCCCUGCCCUUUGUACGCACCGCCCGUCGCUCCUACCGAUUGAACGGUCCGGCGAGAACUCCGGAUGGUC
rnacentral:rRNA from 1 species